rnacentral:rRNA from 1 species
UACGUAGGGGGCUAGCGUUGUCCGGAAUCAUUGGGCGUAAAGCGCGCGUAGGCGGCCAGAUAAGUCCGGUGUGAAAGUCACAGGCUCAACCUGUGAAUGCCGCUGGAAACUGUCUGGCUUGAGUCCGGAAGGGGCGAGUGGAAUUCCUGGUGUAGCGGUGAAAUGCGCAGAUAUCAGGAAGAACACCAAUGGCGAAGGCAGCUUGCUGGGCUACUCCUGACACUGAGGUACGAAAGCGUGGGGAGCGAACAGGA